UCCCUGGUGGCUCAGAUGGUAAAGUGUCUGUCUGCAAUGCAGAAGACCUGGGUUCAAACCCUGGGUUGGGAA
rnacentral:tRNA from 1 species